UACAGAGGUCUCAAGCGUUGUUCGGAUUCAUUGGGCGUAAAGGGUGCGUAGGCGGCGCGGUAAGUCGGGUGUGAAAUUUCGAGGCUUAACUUCGAAACUGCAUUCGAUACUGCCGUGCUAGAGGACUGGAGAGGAGACUGGAAUUUACGGUGUAGCGGUGAAAUGCGUAGAUAUCGUAAGGAAGACCAGUGGCGAAGGCGGGUCUCGUGGACAGUUCCUGACGCUGAGGCACGAAGGCCAGGGGAGCAAACGGGAUUAGAGUACCCC
rnacentral:rRNA from 1 species